UACGAACUGUGCAAACGUUAUUCGGAAUCACUGGGCUUAAAGGGUGCGUAGGCGGCUUGUUAAGUAGGGUGUGAAAUCCCCCGGCUCAACCGGGGAAUUGCGCCCUAAACUGGCGAGCUGGAGUGAGAUAGGGGUGUGUGGAACUUCCAGUGGAGCGGUGAAAUGUGUUGAUAUUGGAAGGAACGCCAGUGGCGAAAGCGGAUCA
rnacentral:rRNA from 1 species